GGAGAUACUUUUCUGCUGGUGGAAAUUACACACAAAUUCUGCUUUACUACUAGGGUUAGGAAGGUUGGGGUUUUUUUCUUAACAAAAAAAAAACCAAAAACAAACAGAUGCUUCCAGUCAUACAAUCCUUCAACCAAAAAAGGCCACAGGAGCAAUCCAAAAUGUUUUCACUCAAGUGGAGAAAGACUCCCUAGUCAGAAAAGACUUUCCUACUCCUUCAUUGUGUUUCCCAACUCCCUCCUUCAUGUUAGCUGGGCCAAGCCUGGAGCAGCAUGGCUCAGAGCCAAGGAAUAAGGAUGGUACUGUGGAGGCUUUGUUUACUCUGUUCAUUGUGGAGUGAAAAGGUGAAGCAGUUAUUGCUCCAGACACUCCCAAUGCUACCUUGUUUUUCUUGUCAUUAUUUCAACAGGCAAAUCCCCAUAACAGCACUGACACAACACUGUCUGUCCCUCAGCAAUCUGGUGACAUCAUUUUCACUGCCAGUGGGUCUGUGCCAACCAAGUAGAGGCAGUCUGGCUUGGGUCCUUAGAGAGACUCCUAUUACUGUAAUGAUCUGCUGGGGUUACAGACCUAUGUACUUGUCUUCCUUUCAGAGAAUGCUUUUCAAAAGUAACAGCCUUAUUUUUUCAUCAGAAGGUAAUUACACAGUACAAGUCAAUACCCUUGGGUUGCUCAGGGUAGAAGUAAUCAAGGAAGGAAGUACUUUCCUAGAUAUACAGUGACUUUGGAAGUGAAAUAUUUUUGCCCCAGACCCAGAAAAGGACUGAGGGAGGGAGCCAAACAGAAUAAACUAGUGCUUAAAUGGCUCAUUAAUUCUUAGCUUUCCCUGACCACCCAGUAAUCUGCAGCUGGCUGACGGAGUCCCAGACACCAUGGUCCUAAACCACAGCUCAGAUGCAGAAGACAACUAGGAGAUGUAUUAUGGUGUCCUGCAAUGUGAUGUCAGUACUGACAUGUGGUUCACAGGCACAGAGAAGGUCUACAGCAAUAAAUACCCUGUCACAGGCCUGCUCCCAGCGAGGAAAUACUUCUUCUGAGUCACUGUCUGCAAUGACAGUGGGGACACUGACCCUCUGGAUUCUCAGGAGCAAUGGAACAUCUCCAGACACACAGUGGGAAGCAGCCUGCAGUGACUGUCCCCAGCAGCAUUUUGACUUCAAGAUGGAGUGUCCCAGGAAGGACAGUGUUUCCUGCUCCAUGGCCCCACUGAGGAGCCACAGCAUGUGACAACAGCUGUACUGUGAGCUGGGCUUUCAUCAGUGACCCCAGUACAGAGGCACCCUUAGCAACACCUCCAAGCCUCAGCUGUGGCUCACCUCAACAAGAAGCACCUGCCCACUUAUGAACCCUACAACUUGCAGCUGCAAGCUGAUCAUCUGUGCACUCUGAAGUUACCCACAGAGAAGAUAACUUUAGCUCUUCUGCCGCACGCAGCGUAUUUUGGAUAGACAUACUUGGACAAGAGAAGAGAACGGAAGAAGUGCAUCUCUGUCCUUUCAGAGGAAUUACGUGUAAGUACAGACUUCUGAGCUGCACCCACUAUCUGAAUGCUCAGGGCACACUUUCAACAACAGACGCGUGUGCCUCGAGUGAUACACUUGGGUUAAUGAAGCCUUUAAUCCACAGCACUGCCUGCAGCAGUGAUCAGCACUGCCUGCUUAAUGCUCCCUCCCUGGCACUGGGAAGAGCGUGAGAGAAGCCUGCACUCUGCAGGCUCCACUAGCCCACCCUCCCCUAGCAACAGCUCCAGCAAAGAAUGUCAAUGUCACAGCAAGAAUGCGCAAGUUCAGUCUGAAAAAAUAAAUCGUGGCAUGUAACACUAUGCCUGGGCUUUAGCUGGCAUAAAGCAGCACAGCUUUUUUGCUCAGUAGGACCAAAGUUUCUAGGCUUCUCCCAAAAGGUGGGACUGACAUAAAUGUUACUAAAAUCCAGCUAAGCUUUCCCAAGGUGAUUAUUCCCUUCCUUUUUUGAUUGAGCUCAGAUGCUUAGAAAUAUUUUCUAUCUUUCAUUUAUAUUGGCUUGGUUUUUAUAGUAGUGCCAUAUUUCCAUAAUUGUCUAUGCAGUAUAUAAAUGUCUACAAGCUCCUGCAUAAUAAAAUCCCAAUUUAUGAUGCAUUUAAGUAAUGGGGGAAAUUACAAUGAAAGCAUCAAUGUUGCAUAGAAACAGAGAACAAGCAAAACUAACCAUAAGAGUUACUUCUAACUCAGAUAGUUGCUAACAUUUCAUUCAUUAAUGCAGAAACAAUACAUUCUCUCUAUAAGAAGUAAAGGCUGACAUAGUUCCAGUGUGAUCUGGCUUUUUUGUUCUCAGCAGAAGUUUGAGGAUCCUAAUAGCACCCUUCCUAAUACUAAACCUUUAAAACUAUGCUUCGACCUACUACUGCUACAAUUGCCCACAGUGCAGAGUACCUAAACAACAUGAUUUACAUCAGGUUUCCAUAGUCAUCUUGAUCACUGUGGUUUGGCCCCUGUUCAGAAACACAAAUGAUACCCACCCAGGCCUUCAGCCCAAUUCCAUAUUUCUUGCUGGUGAAUAUCUUUCCAGGCUGUACCUUUCAGGUAUUUUGCCCAGUUUUUGCAAGUCACUUUUCUACUCUGUGCCAGUGACAUCCUGCAUCUUUCCCGAGGCUGACAAGGGCUGCUCUCAGGAGGGUGCUACUGCUUCCCACCCAGAAGGGACUGGGCUGAGGGCUCCACUUCCUUCAUGCAGUCAAAACAAGAUAUCCUUUCCCAACCCAGCUAUCUCUGUUUAAAGAUGGAAACAGACCACAGGACAAAAGGGAAGGGAUGGGGAGUGUUAAGAUAUGGAUUCUGGGCAAUAAUCUGUCCCAAAGGGUGUUUCACCUGUCUCCCAAACAGAAGGCUGUGCUAGGUCAAGUAAAAGUCCGGUGUGGAGAGAAUGUUGUAGGGAUGAGAGCGCCUGUUUAUCUUGCUCUAAAAGACACACUGAUAUCAUCUAUAACGUCCCCUCAAAGAGAUCUACCCUCAGCCAAUUAAUAUCUGUAUUUUCCAUGCCCUGUUUUCCUCAAAGUGUUGUGAAGCCCUACACUAAGUUUAGUCCUAACUUCAGGGACAAAUAGGGUCCCUUUGAGCAAGGAACAUUAUGUAAAUGUCAGAAUGACUGCAUGUCUCCAGGCUCAUCUCCUGCACACUUGUGGCUCCUGCAAUCAUGGUGCCUGCUGGGCAGAAAGGUCCUUAGGGCAAGAGCUAUCUCCCACAAGCUCACAUUAAAAACUACUUAGACUACAGUGUUGGGUGUGUGGGGUGCUGGACAAAAAUCACUAACGAGUGCUCUUUUAUUAAGGUGGGACUGGUGAUGACUGAACAAAAAUGGAAUUAAACCUCACAUAUUCACAGAGAAAACAUUUUAUUUAUCAAUACUGUGCUUCAGCUGCAGGCUCUCAGCCCACAUGGCUUUAUGCAGAAAAAACAGCUCUUAACCAGAGCAGUAUCAAGAAUAACAAUUUUGAAGCAGGACACUCCUGCUUGCCUAGCAGAGUAAGCAGUGAAAGCUUCCCUCCAAGGUGACUUCCAACCACAGUGAGCAUCGCUCACCAGAUGGAACAGGAUGGCAGACAAAUGCAUCUUCCCUGCCACAGUCCAGUGCCAUGCAUGUCUAGACUCUAACAUCAGCAGGACUCCAGAGCUUUAUCCCAACUGCGGACCUGGCACAAUAUGUUAAGAGGUACUUUGGCACCAGACUUGUUUAUUUGUGGGCAUGCUCCCUGCUCAGCACAUGAACUGUGCAGCAUCAGAGACCACAGCCUGACGAGCUCUGCACAAUGCUGUGGUCUCUCUGUGUGCACUGGGUGGACAUUCCAAGCCCUCCAGGCAAUGAUGCACACCUGGCAGCCAGCACAAACAAGCAGUCCUGGCUUGAUCCUCUCCAUGGACAAUGCCUCCUUGCGUGGUUCCUUCCUGCUGUCACAGCAGACUUGCAGACUUAGAGCUCAUGGGUUUUGACUCUUGUUAAAAAGUGUCCUAAAGAGGAAAAGAAGGGGAGAUGCAGGAGAGCAGGUUGUGUGUAAGCAGCCAGGGCCACCUGCUGCAGUAUUGUACAAAGGCCAUCACUUUGAGAGCAGCAAGAAAAAUCCUGUCACUCUCAGAUGUGCUCUUCUGGUGUUCUCCCCACUGAGGCUGAUGCUGCAGUAUGCUGGGAGAGGACAUACACUACAGACAAAUCAAUUCCUCUGGCUAAUUUGAUUAUGCCUCAGGUGCUGCCCCUCCAGAGAAUCUCCCCAUCAUGUCAUGGCAGCAAUAUCCACGCUGGCCCCAAAGACCUGGUGCAAAGGCAGUGCAGUACAGAGAAG